rnacentral:sRNA from 1 species
CUUCUUCGAUCUGCUGCGGGCAGAUGAAGUGGAUGUGCGUAUCGACGCCGCCAGCGGUAAGGAUCAUGCCUUCGNCUUGCCGAUGGCUGCGAUACGGCCGUUCUUGAUGCCGACGUCAGCCUUGACGAUGCCCCAGUGGUCGAUGAUCAAAGCGUUGGUGAUCAGCGUAUCAACCACGUCGGCGGCCAGCAGUUGACCCUGGCCCAUGCCGUCACG